CCUCGGGAGGCAGCAGUGGGGGAUAUUGCACAAUGGGGGGAACCCUGAUGCAGCGACGCCGCGUGGGUGAAGGAGCGUUUCGGCGCGUAAAGCCCUAUCGGCAGGGAAGAAGGAGGACGGUAUCUGACUAAGAAGCCCCGGCUAACUACGUGCCAGCAGCCGCGGUAAUACGCAGGGGGCAAGCGCUAUCCGGUUUUACUGGGUGUAAAGGGGGCGCAGACGGCAGCGCAAGCCAGGAGUGAAAGCCCGGGGUCCAACCCCGGGACUGCUUUUGGAACUGCGCGGCUGGAGUGCAGGAGGGGCGGGCAGAAUUCCUGGUGUAGCGGUGAAAUGCGUAGAUAUCAGGAGGAACACCGGUGGCGAAGGCGGCCUGCUGGACUACGACUGACGUUGAGGCCCGAAAGCGUGGGGAGCAAACAGGAUUAGAUACCCCGGUAGUC
rnacentral:rRNA from 1 species